UGAUCAAUGUUUCCUCAGAUUUUGGAGC
rnacentral:sRNA from 1 species